GGGCGCAUAGCUCAGUGGUUAGAGCACUGGUCUUACAAACCAGGAGUCGCUGGUUCGAAUCCAGCUGUGCCCACC
rnacentral:tRNA from 1 species